rnacentral:rRNA from 1 species
CCGAAGUUACGGAGUCAUUUUGCCGAGUUCCUUGGAGAGAGUUAUCUCGCGCCCCUUAGUAUACUCUACCUACCCACCUGUGUCGGUUAUGGUACAGGCAUUUUCUAUUUAUGACAGUGCAAGCUUUUCUUGGAAGCAUGACAUCAACUACUUCAAUACUAAGUAUCUCCCCAUCACAUCUCAGCUCAAAAUAUUUUCACUAUUUCUCAUAACCUUGAAUGCUUGGACCAGUGACCACUAUCUGGAUAAGUUUAGCCUUCUUCGUCCCUCGUUGCCAAUAAAAAACGGUAUAGGAAUAUUAACCUAUUGUCCAUCGACUACGUCUUUCGACCUCGCCUUAGGUCCUGACUCACCCCCCGCGGACGAGCCUUCCGGGGGAAACCUUAGGUUUUCGGGGCAUUGGAUUCUCACCAAUGUUUUCGCUACUCAAGCCGACAUUCUCACUUCUGCUUCGUCCACACCCACUUACGUUAAUGCUUCAACCUACAACAGAACGCUCC